GCGCGCUCUGCCACCGCCACCGCCACAGAACCGCGGCAGGAGUCGAAACGAUCACAAGGUCGAGUCACGCAGAGUCGUUCGCCGGUUAGCCCGUCGUCGUCGUCGUCUAAACGACUCUUGACAUGAGCCUCGGUUCCCGCGCGUCCGUCAGCUAGGAGAGCAACUUCCGGACCCAAGGUAUUUCGUUGAUUCGAUGAGAAGUAAGCUGAUUCUGGAACAAAUCGCCUAAGUUUUGCUUUCCUGGCCGUCUCAUAUUCUCAUACAUCAUACGUAAAGUUACUUUGCCAGUCUUCACCAAAUUAAGUUCGAAAACAACAAUGCCGUGACAUAACCGGG